rnacentral:rRNA from 1 species
UACAGAGGUCCCGAGCGUUGUUCGGAAUUACUGGGCGUAAAGGGUGCGUAGGCGGUGGGGUAAGUUUGAGGUGAAAGCUCCGGGCUCAACCCGGAAACUGCCUUGGAAAACUAUCCGGCUAGAGGGUUGGAGGGGAGACUGGAAUUCUCGGUGUAGCAGUGAAAUGCGUAGAUCUCGAGAGGAACACCAGUGGCGAAGGCGGGUCUCUGGACAACACCUGACGCUGAGGCACGAAAGCCAGGGGAGCAAACGGG